UACGAAGGGGGCUAGCGUUGUUCGGAAUUACUGGGCGUAAAGCGCGCGCAGGCGGUCUUUCAAGUCAGUGGUGAAAGCCCGGAGCUCAACUCCGGAAAUGCCAUUGAAACUGUAAGACUUGAGGAUGAGAGAGGUGAGUGGAAUUCCCAGUGUAGAGGUGAAAUUCGUAGAUAUUGGGAAGAACACCGGUGGUGUAGACGGCUCACUGGACCGUAACUGACGCUGAAACACGAAAGCGUGGGUAGCAAACAGG
rnacentral:rRNA from 1 species